UACGUAGGGUGCGAGCGUUGUCCGGAAUUACUGGGCGUAAAGAGCUCGUAGGUGGUUUGUCGCGUUGUUCGUGAAAACUCACAGCUUAACUGUGGGCGUGCGGGCGAUACGGGGCAGACUGGAGUACUGCAGGGGAGACUGGAAUUCCUGGUGUAGCGGUGGAAUGCGCAGAUAUCAGGAGGAACACCGGUGGCGAAGGCGGGGUCUCUGGGGCAGUAACUGACGCUGAGGAGCGAAAAGCGUGGGGAGCGAACAGG
rnacentral:rRNA from 1 species